rnacentral:rRNA from 1 species
AUUGAACGCUGGCGGCAUGCUUUACACAUGCAAGUCGAACGGUAACAGGCCUUCUGGUGCUGACGAGUGGCGAACGGGUGAGUAAUGCAUCGUAACGUACCCAGAGGUGGGGGAUAACGCAGCGAAAGCUGUGCUAAUACCGCAUGUGAUCUGAGGAUGAAAGCUGGGGACCGAGCAGCAAUGUUUGGCCUCGCGCCUUUGGAGCGGCCGAUGUCGGAUUAGCUAGUUGGUGGGGUAAAGGCCUACCAAGGCGACGAUCCGUAGCUGGUCUGAGAGGACGACCAGCCACACUGGGACUGAGAAACGGCCCAGACUCCUACGGGAGGCAGCAGUGGGGAAUUUUGGACAAUGGGCGCAAGCCUGAUCCAGCAAUGCCGCGUGCGGGAAGAAGGCCUUCGGGUUGUAAACCGCUUUUGGCAGGAACGAAACGGUGUCCGCUAAUACCGGGCGCUAAUGACGGUACCUGCAGAAUAAGCACCGGCUAACUACGUG